AUUGAACGCUGGCGGCAGGCCUAACACAUGCAAGUCGAGCGGAUGAAGGGAGCUUGCUCCUGGAUUCAGCGGCGGACGGGUGAGUAAUGCCUAGGAAUCUGCCUGGUAGUGGGGGAUAACGUCCGGAAACGGGCGCUAAUACCGCAUACGUCCUGAGGGAGAAAGUGGGGGAUCUUCGGACCUCACUCUAUCAGAUGAGCCUAGGUCGGAUUAGCUAGUUGGUGGGGUAAAGGCCUACCAAGGCGACGAUCCGUAACUGGUCUGAGAGGAUGAUCAGUCACACUGGAACUGAGACACGGUCCAGACUCCUACGGGAGGCAGCAGUGGGGAAUAUUGGACAAUGGGCGAAAGCCUGAUCCAGCCAUGCCGCGUGUGCGAAGAAGGUCUUCGGAUUGUAAAGCACUUUAAGUUGGGAGGAAGGGCAGUAAGUUAAUACCUUGCUGUUUUGACGUUACCAACAGAAUAAGCACCGGCUAACUUCGUG
rnacentral:rRNA from 1 species